rnacentral:rRNA from 1 species
UGGCUCAGAACGAACGCUGGCGGCAUGGAUUAGGCAUGCAAGUUGAACGAACUCCUUCGGGAGUGAGUAGCGGAAGGGUGAGGAACGCGUGAGUAAUCUGCCCCCCAGUUGGGAAUAACAGUUGGAAACGACUGCUAAUACCGAAUGUGGCUUAAGCUUCGCCUGGAGCUUUGGCUAAAGAUUUAUCGCUGGGGGAUGAGCUCGCGUCCCAUUAGGUAGUUGGUGAGGUAACGGCUCACCAAGCCGACGAUGGGUAGCUGGUCUGAGAGGAUGGUCAGCCACACUGGGACUGAGACACUGCCCAGACUCCUACGGGAGGCUGCAGUCGAGAAUCUUGGGCAAUGCGCGAAAGCGUGACCCAGCAAUGCCGCGUGUAUGAUGAAGGCCCUCGGGUCGUAAAGUACUGUCUCCCGUUGACGAAAUUUGACGGUAGCGGGGAAGGAAGCCACGGCUAACUACGUGCCAGCCGCCGC